rnacentral:rRNA from 1 species
UACGUAGGGGGCGAGCGUUGUUCGGAAUCAUUGGGCGUAAAGGGCGCGUAGGUGGUUCUGUAUGUCUACCGUGAAAGCGUACGGCUCAACCGUAUUUUGUCGGUGGAAACUGCAGGACUUGAGGCUGGGAGGGGCUGGUGGAAUUCCCUGUGUAGCGGUGAAAUGCGUAGAGAUGGGGGAGAACACUCGUGGCGAAGGCGGCCAGCUAGACCAGUUCUGACACUGAGGCGCGACAGCGUGGGGAGCAAACAGG